CCUACGGGAGGCUGCAGUGAGGAAUUUUGGUCAAUGGGCGCGAGCCUGAUCCAGCCACGUAGCGUGAAGGAUGACUGCCCUACGGGCUGUAAACCCUUUUUAUAAAGGAAUAAAGUCAUGCACGUGACUCUUCUCGUAUCUACUUUAUGUAACCAGAUCGGCUAACUCCGGGCCAGCCGCCGCGGCAAUAUGGAGGAUCCGAGCGUUAUCCGGAUUUAUUGGGUUUAAAGGGAACGUAGCUGGGUUGUUAAGUCAGUUGUGAAAGUUUGCGGUUCAACCGUAAUAUUGCAAUUGAUACUGGCAGACUUGAGUGCAGAUGAGGAAGGUGGAAUUCGAGGUGUAGCGGUGAAAUGCUUAGAUAUAACGAAGAACUCCAAUUGCGAAGGCAGCCUACUAAUCUGCAACUGACGUUGAGGCUCGAAAGUGUGGGUAGCAAACAGGAUUAGAUACCCUUGUAGUC
rnacentral:rRNA from 1 species